CAUUUUAAAAUUGGAAUCUAGAAUAUAAACCACAGAAACAAUUAUCCAUUUAUUUCGAACCUGUUUAGGGAGGUAAGUUACGAAAAGAGAUAAAAACAGCUUGUGAAGGUAUCGGAGGCACCUCCAUACUGAUGCUCAUUUUAUUCUAUUAGUUAAAGAGAAACUAGAGGCAGUCACACUAAUUUGAGGUUCAGCCUGCCCCUGACCACUUUCUUUCUAUCUAAACAAAAAGAAACGCGUGGAAGACAAAAAGAUCUAAGAGGCUUGGCACACUUCUGUACAAAUUCAACCAAGAAAUGUAGUUCUCUUUCUUAUAGACCAUUAGAAUAAAUUAAUACCUUCCCAGAUAGUUAAGGGAGACUUUUUUGUUGCAUUGAUAUAUUACUUGGAAAAAAGGAAAAAUGUGCCCCUUGUUUCUACUUCAUGCUUUAUUGUUAAACCUCUGUCUGCCUUUUGUUCCACUGUCACCCUGUACCUUGGAUGUUCCUAGAUGCCAAAAUUCACAAGACAAUGUGCUGCCUAUUGUUAAACAUAUGCCUGCCUCCUUGGUUGCCACUGUGUUGACAUUAGUACCUUUGCCCCGAGCACCCAGCUUAAAGAGGUUUCUGUUGCAGCUCAGCUCCUACAAUGAUUUGUACCUAUUGACAGGAUCGCAGAUAAUUAGCAUUGGUGGCUUGUCAGCUGCCACUGAGAUCACUCUGAUUCUCUGUGGAAAAUAUCCACAAGAGCAGACACUUUUUCACUAGGGUUUCUAGAGCAAAUUAUAAUUACUUCUUUUUUCAAAUAAAAGAAAACAUUUCUUCCAUCACUACUGUGUCUUCAAGCAGUGAAAAACAAAUGGUAUUUCAGAUAUUUUUCCCUCCAUCCCCUAGCCACGUUUCAUUUUGAAGACCCACAGAUUCUUACACCAAUGCCCUAUUCGAGACUACAUGGCUCUGUUUAUGAGCUUCCUUUUCAUUCAUGUUAUUUUUUUCACCAUGUGUAUGAUUUGAGACAUUUAGGGAUGCUGCUAAGUACUUGAGGUGCUGUUUGAAAUUGACAGAGACUUCUACUAACUGUCAGGGUUUUCUAAGAGGUUCAGGCUGCUUUUUCAAAGAAGACUAAAAAUAUGUAUGUAGAUUAAUGGAAAUUGUGUUAUUUUUGCAAUGUAGAAUGCUAUUUUCAUUUUUUUAAAAAAAAACAGAUUUCUGUUCCCAUUUAAUUCUGCUUGUGUCACCUUUCUAAAAUCAUAAUCUUCCC
rnacentral:lncRNA from 1 species